rnacentral:rRNA from 1 species
UACGGAGGGUGCGAGCGUUGUCCGGAAUCACUGGGCGUAAAGGGCGCGUAGGCGGCCGGCCAAGCGUGCGGUGAAAGUCCGGGGCUCAACCCCGGAUCUGCCGUGCGGACUGGUUUGCUAGAGCACUGUAGAGGCGAGUGGAAUUCCGGGUGUAGCGGUGGAAUGCGUAGAGAUCCGGAAGAACACCGGUGGCGAAGGCGGCCUGCUGGGCUAUGGCUGACACUGAGGCGCGACAGCGUGGGGAGCAAACAGG